rnacentral:miRNA from 1 species
UUAGAUGAGAUAACAGGUUUCU